UACGUAGGGGCCGAGCGUUGUCCGGAGUUACUGGGCGUAAAGCGCGCGCAGGCGGCCAUCUAAGCCCGGCGUGAAAGCCCCCGGCUCAACCGGGGAGGGUCGUCGGGGACUGGGUGGCUUGAGGACGGCAGGGGCUGGUGGAAUCCCCGGUGUAGUGGUGAAAUGCGUAGAGAUCGGGGGGAACACCCGUGGCGAAGGCGGCCAGCUGGGCCGUUCCUGACGCUGAGACGCGAAAGCGUGGGGAGCAAACAGG
rnacentral:rRNA from 1 species